UGCCCGGUGGUGCAGAGGUAGCACAGGGGACUUUGAAUCCCCUGACCCUGGUUCGAAUCCAGGCCGGGCAGCCA
rnacentral:tRNA from 1 species